UGGGACCCUGCUCCUUGCCUCCUUCUGGAUCCAGGCUGGAUCCCUAUAGGAUCUGGAACAGAAGCCCCAGUCCAUAUGUUUGAGAAUCUGAGUGAAAUGGAGCCUGGGUUUCCCUUUCUGCUCAAGUCCCAGGGACUCAGGCAGCCCCGAUUUGUCCUGUACCCUAGUUUGUCCUGUACCCCGGUGAAGGGAAAUGACCAGGGCAGACUUCCAAGCAGAAGGACCGGAAAUGACCCCUUGGAGCUGUGAGCCCUGUUUGGGAAGAGCCACUGCACGAUGUCCAUGUACUCAAAAAUAUUGUCAGAGGCCCACUAAGACUCGGCUGGCCCUGGAAAAUAGUAAAAGUGAGCUGAGAAAGAACCUGCAGGCCAGAAGAGCCUUGAGGUUGAGUCUAUAUGGAGGAGAAGUGAAUGGACUGAGCUCCAGAGGGGGGAGAGGGACACCCUACUCAGUCCCUGGACACCAGUGUCCACACAGGUGCUGUGGCCCCGGGGGACAUAGAAGCCAGUUCUUGAUGGGGGGCCGGCUUCCAGGGGAACAUGCCGUGCCGCAGACAGAGGUUUCUACUCCGCCGAAGCAUGAAUGCAAACCGGCAUCUGCAGGAAGAACAUUUAAGGGGACCCUGAUGGCUUCGUCCAUGUGUGUGGAACAUAUGUUUGGAAGCCUAUUAAACAAAAAGC
rnacentral:lncRNA from 1 species